rnacentral:rRNA from 1 species
GUCCAGACUCCUACGGGAGGCAGCAGUGAGGAAUAUUGGUCAAUGGCCGUAAGGCUGAACCAGCCAAGUAGCGUGAGGGAAGACUGCCCUAUGGGUUGUAAACCUCUUUUAUGCGGGGAUAAAGGUGUCCACGUGUGGAUGUUUGCAGGUACCGCAUGAAUAAGGACCGGCUAAUUCCGUGCCAGCAGCCGCGGUAAUACGGGGGAUGCAAGCGUUGUCCGGAAUCAUUGGGCGUAAAGAGUUCGUAGGUGGCACGUUAAGUCUGGUGUUAAAUGCAGAGGCUCAACCUCUGUUCGGCACUGGAUACUGGCGAGCUUGAAUGCGGUAGAGGUAAAGGGAAUUCCUGGUGUAGCGGUGAAAUGCGUAGAUAUCAGGAGGAACAUCGGUGGCGUAAGCGCUUUACUGGGCCGUAAUUGACACUGAGGAACGAAAGCCAGGGUAGCAAAUGGGAUUAGAUACCCUCGUAC